rnacentral:rRNA from 1 species
CCUACGGGUGGCUGCAGUCGAGGAUCUUCGGCAAUGGGCGCAAGCCUGACCGAGCGACGCCGCGUGCGGGAUGAAGGCCUUCGGGUUGUAAACCGCUGUCAGAGGGGAUGAAAUGCGGGUGGGUACUCCCAUCCGUUUGACAUAUCCUCAGAGGAAGUACGGGCUAAGUUCGUGCCAGCAGCCGCGGUAAGACGAACCGUACGAACGUUAUUCGGAAUCACUGGGCUUAAAGGGUGCGUAGGCGGUGCGGAAAGUUGGGUGUGAAAUCCCUCGGCUCAACCGAGGAACUGCGCUCAAAACUACCGUGCUUGAGGGAGACAGAGGUGAGCGGAACUUAGGGUGGAGCGGUGAAAUGCGUUGAUAUCCUAAGGAACACCGGUGGCGAAGGCGGCUCACUGGGUCUCUUCUGACGCUGAGGCACGAAAGCUAGGGUAGCGAACGGGAUUAGAUACCCUAGUAGUCU